rfam:Dipodomys ordii contig_61359, whole genome shotgun sequence.
GGGAAGCUGGCUUAGUGGUAGAGUGCUUGCCUUGCAUGCAUGAGGCCCUGGGUUCGAUUCCUCAGCACCACA